GUUGCUUAACCAUUGAGCCACAUCCCCAGUUCUUUUUAUUUUUUAUUUUGAGAUGAGGUCUGGCUAAGUUGCUUAGAGCCUUGCAAAAUUGCUGAGGUUGACCUCAAACUUGUAAUCUUCUUGCCUCAACCUCCCUCAUCACCGAGAUUACAGGCAUGCACAAGUGCACUCGGCAUAUAAGAAUCUUUUGUCACAGUGGUUUUGUUUUGUUUUAUCUUUUGGUGUUGGAGAUUGAACCUAGUAGCACUCCAUGACUGAGCUCCAUCCCCAGUUCUUUUUUCCUUUUGAAAUGAGGUCUUGCUAAAUUGCUGAGGCUGGCCUCGAAUUUGUAAUCUUCCUGCCUCAGCCUCCUGAGUUGCUGGGAUUACAGGCAUGCACCAUCAUGCCUGACUGUCAUAGUGAUUUUGUACUGUGUUUGUUUACAAACACUUUUCUCCCAUUCGGGAAAAGAUUCCUAAUCUCCUUCAUAAUAAAAGAAGUACACACCAAGCCAUGUACAGUGUACAGUGGUGCAUGCCUGUAAUCCCAGUGACUUGGGAGACUAAAACAGGAAGAUUGAAAAUUUGAUGCCAGCCUGGGUAAUUUAGUGAGAUCCUGUCUCAAAUUAAAAUUUUAGAAAAGCUCAGUGGUAGAGUGCUUGCUUAGCAUUAGUGAGGCCCUGCAUUCAAUCCCUAACUCCCCCUCCAAACAAAAAAAAAAUAGAAAAAAGGAAAUGCUUGAGAGGUUGCAGAGAGGGGGGAAUCCAUACACACUAUUGGUAAAAAUGCAAAUUAAUGUAGCCAUUAUGGAAAAUAGUGUGGAAUGUCUUCACCACACUAAAAAGAACUACCAUAUGAUCCAGCAAACCUACUACUGAGUGUGUAUUAACAUCCCAUUGCUGGGACAAAAAUAUCUCAGAUAAUCAAUUUAUAAGGCAGAAAGAUGUAUUUUGGCUUAGAGUUCCUAAUGUUUCAGUUCAUGGUCACUUGGUACUGCUGGUUUGGGCCUAUGGUAGCCCAGUACAUCAUGGCUGGACAGCAUAGUGGAGCAGAUGCUCACUUUAUGGAAGCUGGGAAGCAAAGAGAGGAAGGAACUAGAAUCCUAAUAUCUCUUUUAUUUUUUUUUUAUUUUUAUUUUUUAUUGGUUGUUCAAAACAUUAUAAAGCUAUUGACAUAUCAUAUUUCAUACAUUAGAUUCAAGUUGGUUAUGAACUCCCAAUUUUACCCCAAAUACAGAUUGCAGAAUCACAUCAGUUACACAUCCACAUUUUUACAUAAUGCCCUAUUAGUAACUGUUGUAUUCUGCUACCUUUCCUAUCCUCUACUAUCCCCCCUCCCUCCCCUCCCAUCUUCUCUCUCUACCCCAUCCACUGUAAUUCAUUUCUCUCCUUGUUUAUUUUCCCAUUCCCCUCACAACCUCUUAUAUGUAAUUUUGUAUAACAAUGAGGGACUCCCUCCAUUACCAUGCAAUUUCCCUUUUCUCUCCCUUUCCAUCCCACCUCAUGUAUCUGUUUAAUGUUAAUCUUUUCUCCUAAUAUCUCUUUUAAAGACACAGCCCACCAAUGACCCAGCUUCCUUUUGCUUGGCCCCACCUACCAAACGUUCCACUCCUAGUAGUGCCACAGGUUGGCAACUAUAUGGGUCUUUGCAGGACAUUCACAAUUUAAAUGUCACAGCAUGUAUCCAUAGGACACGAAGUUGGUAUAUUGAAGAGAUUGCUGCACUCACAUGUUUAUUGUGUUUAUUGCAUCAGUAUUCACUGAAGCCAAGCUAUGGAGUCAAACGAGUGGCUGUCAAUGGAUGGAAACUAUGGUAUAUAUACACACAAUAGAAUAUUUGGCCCUAAAAAAAGGAUGAGUCCUAUAAUUUCUGGCAAACAUAGUUGGAAUUGAAUGACAUUAUUUCAAAUAAAAUGAGCCAAGCUCAGAAAGCCAAAAAAACUAAAAAGGAUAAAAACAGAGAAAGUAGAAUAGUGGACUCCAAAGAAACACUAGAGUCUAUGAAGGGUAGGACACAGCAGAGAUAGAGAGAGGCUGGAUAACAUGUACUAAAAUACAGUUAGAUCCAGAUGUGGUGGCAUACAUCUGUAAACCCAGCAACUGGGGAGACUGAGACAGGAGCAUCUUCGAGACCAGCCUCAGUGACUUGGAAAGACCCUCAGUAACUUAGUGAGAAUCUGUCUCAAAAUAAAACAUGAAAAGGGCUAGGAAUAUGGCUCAGUGGCAAAGUGCCCCUGGGUUCUAUCGCCAGUAACUCCCCCAAAAUACAGUUAAAUAGGAUAAAUAAGUUCCAGAGUUCUAUAGCAUAGUAGAAUGAAUACAGUUUGCAACUUACUAUGUAUUUAUUUAUUUAGGUACUGGUGAUUGAACCCAGGAGCUCUCUACCACUGACCUAUACUCCUAGCCCUUUAUUUAUUUUUUUAUUUUGAGAUAGGGUCUCACUAAGUUGCACAGGCUGGACUUGAAAUUGUAGUCCUCCUGCUUCAGUCUCCAGAGUUGCUGGGAUAACAGGCUGCACCACCAUGUUGGGUUGUGCCAGUGUGCCUGACUGUACGUAGCCAUUUUGCAAAGGUGAAAGCUGGUGUUAUAACCGAGAUCUGUGUGACUUUUAAGCCACUUAUCCUCCACACCACUCUGCUUCUCAAUAUGUUGUUGAUUGCUUUGAGCUGAUUCUUAACUCCUCUCAAUUUUAUCAGCAUACUUUGUGCUUUAACCCCUGUGAGCUGUGAGCUCAGCUUCCAGCUCUAGGUGAAGCCACUCCCGAAGAGUGAAGUAGAGUUCAGAAAUAUUCAGUGUCCUCAGGCGAUCUUCUCUGGGAACCUCAUUCACCUUUGGAUGACCCUGAUGUGGGAGUCUAAGAAAGAAGAAUGAUAAACUCAGAGCACCUGAACAAGUUUCUCUUUACUUACAGGCUUAGGUUCUACUAAGGUAUCUAACAGAUAAUGUUCCUUGGAAAUGCCCUGAGGAGCCUAUUUCUUGUGAAUUAAGGAAAUGCCAGGCAACAUUUGCUAAAUCAUUUGUUUACAAGCUAGAGAAGAAGAAGGACAGGAAAGGUGGCGGCAGAUCUGAUGAAAAUCAAAGGGAGAUCAGUAGAGGAAAGAGACCAAAGGGGAUGGAACCCAGGGGAUUGAACCACUGAGCUACAUAUUGUUAGGUGAAGGUGACUUAGGAACAAAGCACCAAGCAGCCUGCUUGGAGGAAAGAAACACUGAUCAGGCACUGAGGGAACCGCCUGUCAAUCAGCAGGGUCUCCAGGCCAAUCCUGGAUCUUAGCCAGUUCCUCCACCAACUCCAGUAGGACAAAGGACUCUAAAAAACCCUUUUCCUGUCCCAAGCUGUCCCUUCCUGCCCUAAGCCCAAUAAACAUUCCAGUCUGGUGGAGCCACCCCCCCCCCCCAACCCUGUUCGCUUCUCCUCAGACCCUCUUCUUACUCUGCUGGUCUGAGAGGUGUUGUCCCCCUGCCCCCACCCCAAGCGAAAUCUCAGUAAAGCCUCCUCCAGCGGCCUUCUAAAAUCUGCCUCUUUUUGGUCGCUGCUGCCUGACCUUACACAUACCUAGUUCUUUUUUUUUUUUUUAACUUUGAGACAGAGUAUUGUUAAAUUGCCCAGGCUGGCUUUGAAUUUCUAGGCACCCUGCCUCAACCUCCUGUGUACCACUUGCCACCUCACCUGGCUCUCUUGCGGAUUUUGUGUGUGUGUGUGUGUGUGUGUCUGUCUGUCUGUCUGUCUGUCAGGGGUAGAACCCAGGGGCACUUAACCACUGAGGCACUUCUGCAGCUCUUUUUAUUUUUUAUUUUGAGAUAGGGUCUCACUAAGUUGCAUAGAGCUUCUCUAAAUUGCUGAGGCUGGCUUCAAAUUUGGGAUCCUCCUGCCUCAUCCUCCUGAGUUGCUGAGCCAAGGGGCCAGGCACUCUCUUGUGAUUCUUAAUUUUUGAGAAAGAGCAAGCAAGAAAGAAACAAACAUGUUAUUAACAGGUUCCUUUGGGAAGCCAUUAAAUCUGAGGACUGACACAUGGGCAGUAUAUGGGAGAAGGGGUGAGUUUAUGGUAUGAGUGUGGUGUGUGUGUGCGUGUGUGUGUGUGUGUGUGUGUUGGGGGAGUUGCUUUCUUAAUUUCUCAUAGUCUUCCAUGUCUACUGAGAACAAUUCCCUUCUGGUCCCCUAAAGUAAUAAACCUAAGUUUUAUUUUUUUUCUUUUUCACUACCUCAUUUGCUGUUACUUUUUAUUUCAAUACUCACUCAACAGACAUUCACCAGGGGCCUUUAGUUGUCAACCCCUCACAUUCAGGUUGAUAUAACUGAAAGAACUUUGCCUUCAAGAUUACAGACAGGCUUUGAUCCAACAUAGUAUUUAAACAGUAGGUAAUUUUGGACAAGUGACAUAACCUUCGAGUCAGAUCACAAAAACAUGUUCUUCCUGCUUUGCAUGAGAAUAUAUUUUGUCAAUUGCAAAUAAUAA